rnacentral:lncRNA from 1 species
AUAAGAUACAUCCUGUGUGAAAAUGUGAAGAAGUGUGCCUCUUAGAAUGGAUGCACUAUGGGGUUAGAACAUCAAUGAACGAGAAGUUGUAAUCCAAUACCUUGGACACAGAACAGUCAGAGAGGUCUGGCCUGAAGAGAAGGCAUUGUGCAUACUUAACAUAUGGUGUAUCUCAGUAAAUGUUUGGUGAAUGAAUGGGUGAUGUACUGGGUGGGGAGAUGGGAGUCAUCAGACUAUCCUGGUAGCUGGGCUUAGCACAUGGUUGAAGUCACCCAGAAAGUUUGUAUGAAGUGUGAGGAGAGACGGGAUAAAACCUUUGUGAACACCGGUGUUAUCCUAGUGGUCAUGUAGAAAGGAGCCGAAGAAGGAGCUGGGGAAAGAACUUUCCAAGAGGUGGGGAAGAACCAGAAAGAACUCAGGCGACCAGAGAACAAAGGGUGAGGAGGUGAGAUGUUGCAAGGACUCUGUCAAGAUAAGGCACACAUAUUUUGAGUAAGCCUCAGCCUGCCCUAUGUGAUAGGAGAAGCACUGAAAAUCACAAAGGCGUCAGUGAUCAUUUCUGCCAGGACAUCACAGGAGGCUACCUGAGGAAGGUUGGAGCUGCACUGAGUGAGCUGUUGCCGUCCGGGGCCAAGCAUGCUGUGGUUGGACCUGCCCAGCCGUGGAACAGAAAUGUUUGCUGGAUGGAAAAUCCAUAAAAGAAAGCUCCUGUGAAAGCCUGAGACAGACAGUGACUUAAGCAAAAUCAGGAUUGCUUUGAGGGAGCCUGUUGUUAAAUGGGUCAGCUUCCUGGAGCAAAGAAUGGAGUGGAAAAGUGGAGCGGUGAGUGGAAUC